GAAACGGAAUUGUCAGAACCAAAGAAAAUCAGCUAGCAGUUCAAUUAGCACACAUAAAUUUACAGCCAGCAGCUCCAGCAGCUCAUCCCACGUACUGUUUACACGAGAAAGUUGUACAAAAAUACGGAUUGAAAUGUCUAAAAUCUAUGCGCUCACAAUUAAACCUGAUCAAGAAGUGCGCUUCUGCUUGCAUGAGCAGGCUUUUAAUUCCUCCCAGUACACAGGCAUCUGAUCACUCGCAACUUGAAAGUACUCUCAAGUUAAACCAUGAAUGGAUCUGCCUGCGACUGUCUUUUUCACACCGGAGAUUCUGUACUGGAGUCCGUACCAUUCGGCGUAUCCGUAUGACGAUGAUGCGGUGGUUGGUUUUGGUUGGCAGUUUCCGCCGGCGCCGGCGCGGCGUCGGCGAGGACAGUGGCGCGGCAGAGCGGGCAGGUGGUGUGGGAGCGGAACCACGUGUCGACGCAGCGCGCGUGGAAGCGGUGCCGGCAGCGCGGCAGCAGGCGGCCCUGGUCGCCGUCCGCGAACUCCGCGAUGCAGAUCGCGCACUCGGCCGCCGGCCCGCCGACGCCGACGCCGGAGGAGGAGUGCACGAAGACGGGCAGCGCGGUGAUGGCCAGCUGCACCUCGCGCCGGUCCCGGGCCUUGGGCGACGCCGGCGGCGACGAGGCCUCCGAAGACGCCGACGCCCCAUCGGCCGAGUCGUCGUCCUCGCCGCCGCCGCCGCCGCGCGUUCGCGAGCGCGAGAAGAAGCGCCAGAAGUAGGCGUAGACGAGGAGGACGAGGAGGACGUUGAGCACGACGAGGCACGCCGUGAGAAGCCGCCCGUGUGCCUCCCAGUGGAUGCCGGCGGCGGCGGCGGCGCGUGGGCUGGGGCUCAUGGUCAUGGCUGCCGCCUGACCCAUUCCGUUGGAUUUGGAUCCCUCAGUACCCGGCCGGGGUCGAGUCUAACAGUGCGACGGAUCAGAUCGAAAUCAAAAUACGCGAAUCAUUCAUACCGGAGGCCGGAUCACACGAUACGACGGAAUGGAAAGCUUGGGAAAUGGAUCGAUACAGCUGAAAUGACUACAAGGAUAUAUAUAUAUACAUAGUGCCAAUGGAUGGGAUGGCAUGAGAGAUUUUUUUUUUUGGUGGUGAGACGUAGGGUAGCAGUAGCACUAGCGCGAGCGGUGGAAGUGGCGGCUCUUGAGUUCCCUUGCGGCGUAGGCAAGGGCAUGAGUAUGACCGCCGAUACGGCGCGGCCGGACGAAAAAUGACCAAGCG
rnacentral:misc_RNA from 1 species